GAUGAACGCUGGCGGCGUGCCUAAUACAUGCAAGUCGAGCGAACAGAUGAGGAGCUUGCUCCUCUGACGUUAGCGGCGGACGGGUGAGUAACACGUGGAUAACCUACCUAUAAGACUGGGAUAACUUCGGGAAACCGGAGCUAAUACCGGAUAAUAUAUUGAACCGCAUGGUUCAAUAGUGAAAUACGGUUUUGCUGUCACUUAUAGAUGGAUCCGCGCCGCAUUAGCUAGUUGGUAAGGUAACGGCUUACCAAGGCAACGAUGCGUAGCCGACCUGAGAGGGUGAUCGGCCACACUGGAACUGAGACCCGGUCCAGACUCCUACGGGAAGCAGCAGUAGGGAAUCUUCCGCAAUGGGCGAAAGCCUGACGGAACAACGCCGCGUGAGUGAUGAAGGUCUUCGGAUCGUAAAACUCUGUUAUUAGGGAAGAACAAAUGUGUAAGUAACUAUGCACGUCUUGACGGUACCUAAUCAGAAAGCCACGGCUAACUACGUG
rnacentral:rRNA from 1 species